UGCACUCGGGUAAGUCCCAUACGACCAGCUCCCUUUGAAUCCCCCAGGGCUUGACCGCAGCAAGGGUAGAAGGUUGUAGCGGUGCGAUAUGGUAAGCUUGCCCUUUU
rnacentral:SRP_RNA from 1 species